rnacentral:rRNA from 1 species
AAAUUGAAGAGUUUGAUCAUGGCUCAGAUUGAACGCUGGCGGCAGGCCUAACACAUGCAA